GAUUAACGCUGGCGGCGUGCAUAACACAUGCCAGUCGAACGAUGAAACUUAAAUGAUUUCUUCGGAAUGAACUUAGGUGGAUUAGUGGCGGACGGGUGAGUAACGCGUGAGUAACCUGCCUUACACAAGGGGAUAGCCGUUGGAAACGACGAAUAAUACCCUAUGAAACUAUCACUUCGCAUGAAGCGAUAGUCAAAGUGUUAGCGGUGUAAGAUGGACUUGCGUCUGAUUAGCUAGUUGGUGAGAAAAAAGCCCACCAAGGCAACGAUCAGUAGCCGGCUUGAGAGAGUGUACGGCCACAUUGGGACUGAGACACGGCCCAGACUCCUACGGGAGGCAGCAGUGGGGAAUUUUGCACAAUGGGGGAAACCCUGAUGCAGCGACGCCGCGUGAUUUAGAAGGCCUUCGGGUUGUAAAAAUCUUUUGUAUAGGAAGAAAAUGACAGUACUAUAAGAAUAAGGUCCGGCUAAUUACGUG
rnacentral:rRNA from 1 species